UGCAAUUAUCCCAAAAUCACAGCUUCACUAACUCAGCGUUUGCUGAUUGCUGCACUGCCAUCAGUCAGGAAACACAGCUGCAAUCAUUCAAAGCAGCAGCUCACAGAACACCAUCAGACACACACAGACACAUCUCCACCUCCAAAAGAUGCAACAUCAGAGGAUAAAUGACAAACAUUGUCCCAAAAUAAACGAGCUGCGACGCACACGUCGUGAAAUAAUUGCCGUCUGUCAAAGAUGCUCAGCUUAGUUUUGGAUAUUGAGACACGCUGCAGCCACUCUGUUGAUCCACAGGCUGAUGGUGGAAUGUAGCUCCUCCCCGGGUUCUCCAGGUGAAGUGAAGCUCCAUGUGAUGGGUCAACCUCCUCCACCUCCUGUUCACUCUACACCAGCCACUGUCGCUGUGCUACUGAGAAUUGCCACAGACGAGUCCUUCACCAGCUUCCACCCCGAGGCUCACCUGCCUCUCAGCCUCCUGCGAGGCAGACCAGUCUAUAUGGAGGUGAGCCUGCUGGACCCCCCCGAGCCCGGCCUGGUGCUGCUGGUUCACUCCUGCCUGGCUUACUCUCAAGCUCCAUACGCCAGCUGGAUGCUGGUCUAUGAUGGCUGUCCCAGCCGAGGUGAUUCAGAGCCGCUUCCUUCGCCACGCCCUGACCCCCACCACAUCCGGAGGUUCACUAUCUCUGGCUUCCUGUCUCUGCACUCAGAAAGUCCCCCAUACAUGGCUGAAGGAGGAUACUCUCACCUGGAGGACCCAGAGAAGUGUGCUCUGCUGCAGAUGGUGACUGCACUGUACGCUGCAUCAGCAGUAAGUUUAACACAGUGGAAACAUAAGAGAGGAACUAGUCCAACAAGGUUCUUAUACAUUGAUUAUAUAUAUUUUUAUAAUUUGAAGACUUGUGGGUUCCAGACUUGGAAAGUCUAACUCAACAAAGAACUAUUGUCCCUCCAACAAUAAGUCUGUGAUCCACUGAGAAUCUACACUAAAGCUGCACAGAUGGAUUCCUGUUGAAUGUCCCAACAGUGACGCGUGAGCAAUGAAAUAAACACUCUUACAC